GACGAACGCUAGCGGUGUGCUUAACACAUGCAAGUCGAACGGUGACGCCCUUCGGGGCUGAUCAGUGGCGAACGGGUGAGUAACACGUGAGUAACCUGCCCUCAUCUCUGGGAUAACUCCGGGAAACCGGGGCUAAUACUGGAUACGACACUCUGGGGCAUCCCUGGGUGUGGAAAGUUUUUCGGAUGAGGAUGGGCUCGCGGCCUAUCAGCUAGUUGGUGGGGUAACGGCCUACCAAGGCGACGACGGGUAGCCGGCCUGAGAGGGCGACCGGCCACACUGGGACUGAGACACGGCCCAGACUCCUGCGGGAGGCAGCAGUGGGGAAUAUUGCGCAAUGGGCGAAAGCCUGACGCAGCAACACCGCGUGAGGGAAGAAGGCCUAUGGGUUGUAAACCUCUUUCGGCAGGAAAGAAAUUGACGGUACCUGCAGAAGAAGCACCGGCUAACUACGUGCCAGCCGCCGCGGUAA
rnacentral:rRNA from 1 species